GGCUUGAAAUGCAGGUGCAGCUGGACUUUUAUCUGAGCUAAAAGCAUAUCUAUUUAGUCCUCGUCAAACAGGAUUAUUACUAUUGCUGCAGCUAACAUAAAGGAUAAUUGUCCUCAUUGCUGACUGAUGCAGGAUUUUACGACACUUUAUGUGUUGUUCAACUCGAUCUCAAAUCAAGUAAGACUACCCGCUGAACUUAA
rnacentral:misc_RNA from 1 species